UGGGGAAUCUUGCGCAAUGGGCGAAAGCCUGACGCAGCCAUGCCGCGUGUAUGAUGAAGGUCUUAGGAUUGUAAAAUACUUUCACCGGGGAAGAUAAUGACGGUACCCGGAGAAGAAGCCCCGGCUAACUUCGUGCCAGCAGCCGCGGUAAUACGAAGGGGGCUAGCGUUGCUCGGAAUUACUGGGCGUAAAGGGCGCGUAGGCGGAUAGUUUAGUCAGAGGUGAAAGCCCAGGGCUCAACCUUGGAAUUGCCUUUGAUACUGGCUAUCUUGAGUUCGGAAGAGGUAAGUGGAAUGCCGAGUGUAGAGGUGAAAUUCGUAG
rnacentral:rRNA from 1 species